AUUGAAAAUAAUUAAAUGUCAGUUUUGGAAGUCUGUAUUUAUCGAAACAAUUAUGUAAUUGCGGAAGUCUAAAUCGAAGAGUUACUAAACAGAAUCAUAAAUAUGUGAAUGCUACUGGCAAAAUUUAUUCAACAUUUUGAUCUUAAAAACAAAAGUUUCACUUACUACAAACAGCGGAAUCAAACAAAAUCAUUGCAUGGAGCCGGUCGAGUGUAAUUAUAACCAACAGCUCCACCGGGUUUUUAGGAAAAAAAACCGGUCCAAUUUUAACCCAACCGGAUAUUUUACCAAACAAAAGUUUUUCAGGUCGAGCUAAAUAAAACCGUUUAAAAAUCAAGUCAACGUGAAAUGUCACGUCACUUCUUUCAACGUGAAAGUACGACAAACAAAAACACAUGGAAAAUAAAUAUGGACUAUGCUAAUAUGGACUCACCAACUAUUAUAAUAUGGACCAAAAUAAAUAUCAGGCAAUUGACACUUUCGACCUUAACUGUUAAGAUCGUUGGAUGAUCUUUAUAUCGUAGUAUCGUUAUAGUUCCUAACAUUAGGUCGACUCUAAAGCCGCCUGUGGACAAAGAGAUCGGUCGUAUGGAUAGGUCCACGAGGAAAGAGAGCUAAAGGCCGCCCGUACGCCAGAUAAGCAAUGGAUCCGGGAUGGAUGGACGGAGUGAAGAUGGGCCAGAUGGUAUUUGAUUAAUAUCGUAAUCUAGACGCAGCCUGAUUGACAUUAUAUGGAAAUAUUUGGAAAAUUUUGGUCUUUUUUAUUAGUAUUUAAUCAGGUUUUUUGGAAGGAAAUAUUACAUGUGGCUCAGCCAGGAUGGGUGGGAUUUGCUAACAGUUCCAGGACAGAUGCUUCGCGAUUGCAUCUACUACCGAAUCGAAAUCGCGACCCACCGAGAAGAUCCGGCGAGAAACUCAGCGAGCUAAUUAAUCAGGCAUUACCGGAGUGUGUAGUGGAACAGUGUGAGAUUCAGGUCUCCAACGUCAACUAAACAAUACACCACGUAUGACGUCAUAGUUCAGAGACAAGUGGACCGGUUCUGCUCAAUUCUUGGAUAUUCAUUAAAAUAAAUAAAUUAAUACUCGGCUAAGACAAUAAACAAACUUAUUUACCUGGAUAGUA